rnacentral:rRNA from 1 species
GAUGAACGCUGGCGGCGUGCCUAAUACAUGCAAGUCGAACGAAGCGGGGACGGGGGAGUAAAACGUGGAUAAACUCCUAUAAGACGGGGAUAACUUCGGGAAACCGGAGCUAAACCGGAUACUUAUCGAUGGAUCCGCGCUGCAUUAGCUAGUUGGUAAGGUAACGGCUUACCAAGGCAACGAUGCAUAGCCGACCUGAGAGGGUGAUCGGCCACACUGGAACUGAGACACGGUCCAGACUCCUACGGGAGGCAGCAGUAGGGAAUCUUCCGCAAUGGGCGAAAGCCUGACGGAGCAACGCCGCGUGAGUGAUGAAGGUCUUCGGAUCGUAAAACUCUGUUGGUAGAGAAGCGGUAUCUAACCAGAAAGCCACGGCUAACUCCGUGCCAGCAGCCGCGGUAAUAC